CAUAGCAAAUAUACGUAUAAAAAAACCCAUGACGGAGACAAGUCAUUGGAGUUGCUUGUGACUCCACAAAUACACUCAUGAUAUCAUGGGGACAUAAAGGUUUGUAAAGAUUUAUUUGUACAUCCUUUCAAGUAAUUAAUUAAUCUGAUGGGGAGAAUGAGAAAAAGAAUAAAAAGGACCAGAAUAGCAUGAAGAACUUUGAUGCAUUGGAAUCUCCAUUUUCAAAGCUUCUCAAGUCCUCAUGGGAUUCAAAACACUUUUUAGAUUUUACCAACUACAUAAAAGGAGUUUGUCCCCUUCAGCUCUCGAUAUGGAGCUACGGAUGCUGGAAAUCAUAGAUGAAGAAGAUAUUUUGAAGAGAUUAUCAAAAGACCUGAGUUUAUAUCGAUUGGACAACUUCUGGAUUACUUCAUCAACGAGAUCUCUUGCAAAAACGACUUUGAGUUUAUGCAAGCCGUUUGUGAAAUUAAUUUCUAAAGAUCCACGGUGAGACCAUAAGGUGCCACCCAAGUUUACAAGAGAAGGCAAAGGGCGCUUUUAGAAACUCAAGAGUUUGGUGUGGCAGAAAAUGGAUAAGCUUUUCCAGAGCACAAGAUGCAUAGUUACCUUCCUUAGCAAUUCACAGUUCUGAUGAAGCUUGUUAACAUAUUGCUCUCUUUGUUUAUGUUUCUCUGUUUUUCACAAAAUAGCAGUUUUGAAGAAGCUUAUAAUAUAUUUAUUACCC